GCUUGAGUUAAUCGUACACAGCGAAGCUUUGGUGUCGACUUGUUUACUGCCUGGUCGUAAAAGUAAAAAUGUGCCAGUCUGGCAUGUUAAAGAGUGCCUCUUUAUGUGUGCUGCUUGUGUGCUUGCGUGUGUUGGAUUAUACUCGCUGAAAAGGGAGUGAAAAUUUAUACCUGAAUUACAUUUUGUUUCUACACUCUGUUCAAUAUUAGCUACAUUCUCAGCGAACACAACCCGACUUUAUGAGAACAUCAGAAGCAAACAAGACUCGGCAAGUUAGUCUUGUUCACUCAGACCAUAACUAAACACUUUCUCCUGGUCCGGGCUGCGGUGGAUCUGGAGCUUUUCCCAGGGACACUGGGCACAAGGCUUUAAGACCUCAAAUGGCGUUCCACAUCUGGCUGCCACGCUUCCUCACUACAUCAAAGACUGUAAGACACAGAACACAAAGACGGCUUGUUAGCGCCACUCCUCCCAAAUGAGCAAAGUCCAAGAGCAAAUCAGCCUGGAUCACCCCAGGGUUCAAAACCUCCAAAUCAACCCGGAUGUAUCAGAUCAGCCCAAGUCAGCUCUGAUCACUGCAGGCUUUAACAAACUCUGAGCAGGAGGAAUCCCAGAAGACUCUAGUUCUUCCCCAAUUGUUCUAAUCCACAGCAUUCCAGGUACUCCUAGUACUCCAGUUUAUCACAACUCAUCCAGAAUCACUCUAGACUUCCCUAAUCUGUGGAUCUCACUCUUGAUUACUCUGAAUCAAACUUAAGGUCACCCCAAAGAUCCCAAGCCUGCAACACACAAAAUGAUUAAAGCUCAUGGAAUUGUAUAAUCCCCUAAAUCAUGGAGCUGGCGGACUGUAGUCUAGAUGCAGAACCAGAUUUCACAGAGCACUUGAAAAAUACUGUAGCAGAUCUGUUGCAGAUUAUCCAAUCACAUGCAUUACGUAAAUUAUUUAGCUGAAGGCCACACAUCAGACCACAGAAAACUAAAGAGCUCCAGAGUUGCCAGAGUCAUGUGCUUUUUUCUUUUUUUUUUCACCAAAUUGGGCUAAUUUUGGAACAAUGUCACAGAUGGAAAAAGCAAAUCCAUGGCUGGUGUUUAAAAUAACAUCAUCUUGUUUUAAAGCAAAUAAUCAGAAUGAUAUCUAAUCAAUUUCUGCAAACAAAUGUUAUGGCAGACAAACUGAAAGUGAAGCGCAGACAUCAUCAAUGUUGUACAAUACUAUUUAUUUAUUUUUACAUCUGGAUAUAUUACAAAGUUUGCCAGAUGGAUAGAGGGAUUAUGUAGUGGGUAACUAUCAUUUUAGAAAAUGAUUAAAAAGGUGUAUUGCAGAUACUGUGAAGCUGUUCACACCAUGGUGACCACAUAUCUCGUGCAAAAACUGAGAAAAAGACGAAGCAUGUUUCUCCUUUUCCCAAUGGCUAAACUUCCUGGGCUAUGCUAAGGUCAGAUUAUACUGAGACCUGGCAACCCUGAAGAGGUCAGUAGAAGAACAGAAUACUUAAAAGAAGACAGAGAUGUUCCUGCUUCAAGCUGAAAACAAAUGAGUAGGUGAGGAGAGGUGUUGAUCAGGAGAAAGCAGGAGGUGUUUUUCCCUUUAAUUCGGGCAAUCAGAUAUGACCCUUGUGGGACAAGUAACCCUUCUGUGAAACCUGAUCCUAAAUCAUUGUCGCCAUGGAGGUCCAGACUGUGGAUGUGCAGGAACUCCCCAAUGUGUCUGUAUUAGUGUACUGUGUUGUUUCUGGCUGAUGAAUAUGACUCCUGUCUCUGAGUUUCACUUCUCCUCCAGCCUGCCAGCACUUCUCUGGGGCAUGACGUAAGGCUAUUCAUCACCACUUUUCGAGACACCACUUUAUACUGGCUCAGGUCAUUUAUCAUCGGUAGCAACGGAGGGUAAAACAGGCAACAAAUAGAUCAUAACAUCUGUAGAAAGAUGUAUAUAAACAUAUGUCUCUGACUGACUGAUUCUCCUAAGAAUAUAGAGAAAGCUCUGUUUUCAUUGAAAACAGGAAUUUAUGAAUAAUUGAAGAAGCAGAGUUACUGUUACUAUAAUGUUGAUUAUUUUCCCAUAACAGCUGAUCUGCAUGUUUUUUUAUUCCUCUUUUACCACAGCAAUUUGUCAGUGAUUAUUAUUUUAACUAAAUAAAGAAUAGUGUACUUUGUUACACACUUAUGGUUUUGUUUAAUGUCGUUGAAUGUCUAUGAAACAAGCUAGUUCUUGUUUUCACUUAUUAUUAUCCAAAUCAGAAUCCAGAAAUGAAACACACAUCUGUACAAUGAACACUCGUGGAAAGAAGUUAUAUGCAUCACCGUCAAGGGCGGAAUUGUUGCUUCAUUUCCUGUUCACACAGAUUUCACUAUAACAGGUCUCGAUCCCUGGUG